UGGAUAGUUCAGUGGUAGAACUCCUAACUAGAAAUACAGGGACCUGGGUUCGAUUCCUAGUCCA
rnacentral:tRNA from 1 species